AACGAGUUCUGGAAGUUAUAGACGCUGUCCUCGACCACAUCAAGCUAAAAUGAACGCCAAGGCAAUCCUCACAGUACUGGCUGUAUACGCUAUACUUGUUGCAGGCACGUCAGCCUGCGGCGGUGAGGGCCGCUCCGAGUCCGGAAGGUGCGGUGGCGGCGAGGGCCGCAGCGAUCAAGGAGCGGCCGAGGCCCGCCAGGACAGCGGUGCAAUGUCCAGCGAGUCGGCUCGGUGCGGUGACCAUUCCGGUCGCUGCGAUGGCUAGGAGCACCCUCUGAUUCGCAGCCACUCCCGCGCAAAGCCAGCAGUAUUUGUCCAACUGAUAGGUGGUGGUUGUAGGUACUGAAUGAAAUUGUUUCGAAAUAAACUGGCUUUG
rnacentral:lncRNA from 1 species